rnacentral:tRNA from 1 species
GCGGUCGUAGCUCAGCUGGUUAGAGCACUGGAUUGUGGUUCCAGAUGUCGCGGGUUCGAGCCCCGUCGAUCGCC